UCAUUUUAUAUGAACCUAAUACUCAAAGUUUAUUGAAUAUUAGAGAAUUAAUUGAAAUUUUGUGCUGUUAAAUAAAUAAUUAUUUGUUAAAUAGAGAUGGAGGGUUAUCUGGUGAUAAUGUACAGCUCUGGAAAGAAAUAUUGACCUCUUAUGGACAAUACUCAUACCACCCUCAAAGAUUACAAUGAGUUAAACCUUUCCUUAUAAAUCUACUCGCUUGGAAUGUUGGUUUCUCUUCUUGAUGAUGGUAGCGUGAAACUACCGAAACGUGUGGAGUCUUUUAAUGUUGACCGAGGGCCAAAUAAAAUAAAAAGUUGUGCAUAUUAAACGUUAAUUUUGUUUUUAUUUUAAAAUUUAUUGCACAAGCUGACGUCAUCGAAUUGUUUAGAAAAACUGAUUUUCGAAUUUAAAAAGUUUCUGACCAACUGCGCAUGUACCGGACCUGCGAGAAAUUUGAUAAUUUUCAACUGUCGGCUGGAUUUUUGUGUUGUUGGUGUUAACAAUGGCAAGUAAUCAAGAAGGAAAUCUGGACUUCUGUCAUCAACGAAGAAGCGUUUCUUAUGCUAGGUACUCGUGUUGUGUAAAACUAAUAUAACAAAAAUGAACUUCUGGAAAAAUGUCACGUCAAAAGUUUACUAUUAAUGCGUCAAGUAAAAUAUUGACAUUUGAAGGUCAAAAUGAUGUGUUGGUCAGCUUUAGGUAAAACCUUUUUUUAAGACCUCUUGUACAAAUGUAUUAUUUGUAGUAAAUGUGUUUAGUAUCCUUACAAACGUAAGUCAGGCUUAACUCCAACAUAUAGUUAAAAGUGAUUCUUGAGAAUAAAAAAAUGAACAUCUUGUGACACAGAGUAAAAAUCCAACAGCUUGAGAUAGGAAUAUAAUCCAAAAAGUUGAGACACGGAGAGAGUGAAAAAAAUCCAAAAAGUUGAGACACGGAGUGAAAAUCAAGCACCUUUUUAAACCUAACAACUUUAGAUACGGAAGAAUGAACAACAUCUUGAAACAUAAUUAAAAACCACCAUGAGACGCGAAGUAUAAACAAAAAAGCACGCAUGUUUAGUUGACUGAUGGCAAUACUUGAUCAAAAGCUAAGUUUUGGAUCUGUACUAUGUGCUGUACAGGCCCGGAUAAACUUUUUGUGGC